AUUAAAUCCACUUACGUCUAUCCACUUACUGACAAACUGUAUAUAUAUUUUCUUUGAUGUAAAAUUAAAUUUAUUAAUUUUUAAAUUCAGUUCUGUUGAUGUUAUAGUUAUUGUGAUAAAUUACAGUAACAGUGACAUAUAUCUCAAUAAAAUCUCGGAAUUUUAUGUGACAGUUUUCAAACUACAGCAGAAUGAUUAAAAAAAGACUAAAAAACUAAAUAUCAGCGGAUAAGCUAUACUCUGACUGACGCUUGCCCGUCUGCAGGCAACAAUUGUUCACGAACUCGUGUACGCACUGCAUGUGCUUUAAAAGUUUUUUUUAAAUAUAUAAUAAUAUUUAUUAAUAAUACUCAAUUGUUAUUAUUAUUUCCAUUAUUCAUGAUAAAUUUAACGCAAGUUGGAUCAAAAUACAUUCAAUGAAGAAGAGAUUUCACAAGAUUAAAUUUGUGAUAAACUUACACCAACUCCAAUAAAGUUAAAUUUAGUAAUAGUCACAUUAUUAUUAUAAGCUACAUAA